GUACAUUAAUGACUGUCAGUUGAAAAAAAGCACAACCUGAACGUUGAGAAUUAUGUUGUAUUUGGGGACCUUCCUGAGGGUUAUAGUGGCAGCUGGUAGCCUCUCAGAUAGCUCUGAGAAACUGUUCCACCCACAGAGGUUAAGGGAGGAACCAGGAUAAUAGAAAUUUUUGCUGAAAAAAAAAAAAAGAGUCAAACAUCAGAAGAUUACCAUUAAUCAAGUGCUUUUCUAUUUUUUCUCUUUUCUACUUUUUCUGGACUCAUUGAAAUCAUUCCUUUGAUGUGUCCCUUAACUAUCAAGGGCCAUUAUCCUGUUUUUCUCCAUCCUUAAUUCACCUCAGGGUGCACCUUCGGGGCAGCUGCCAUGGCUCGUGACUUUAUGGCUGCAAAUCCUUUGUUUACUGAAAUGACAGGUGACAUUUUUUUGACCACUUGAUGUUAUCAACAGUAACAAUUUUAGUCACCUGACUGGUUGAUCAGUGUGUUCCAUUAGCACAGAGUUGAAGUCAAAGUGGGCUAGUUUGGGAUAGAUUAAUCAUGAACUUGGUUUGGGGUACUUGAUUUCAGAUCGACAUUCUAGCUGUGACUUUGGACUUCUGAGCUGACAGUGAGGUCUGAGCAAGAGUCAGCCUAAAACACAAGGGGUGGGUAAGAGCAUUCCUGGCAGUCAGAACAGCCAGUCAGGAAUCCAGAGAGACCCUCUUGUUUGGAGGAAGGUAAAGAAGGUCAGUGAGUGCAGCAGAGGGCCGGGGGCCAGGGAAGAGCCACAGGAAUUCAGCUGGAGAACAGACCAGUGCCUUUAUCUUGAGAACAGUGAGAGGCAGUGCAAGGCUUUGGGGCAGGGGAGUGGCACACACGCAGUAUUUGGAGUUUAGACCCUUCCCUCCAGAGCACGGGGCAGGGGCAGGGGGUGAGAGAGAGGGAGAUGGAGGAGAGGAGGCAGGACUGGAGACUCGGAGGUGGAGCACUGUUGUUCUAGUGAGGGUCUUGGGCUGGUUACAGGGACAGUGGGAAGGAGAGACAUGAUGACAUCAAGAGUUGUAGGGGAGGGAGUUCCUGUUGUGGUGCAGCGGAAAUGAAUCCAACUAGGAACCAUGAGGUUGCAGGUUCCUUCCCUGGCUUCGCUCCAUGGGUUAAGGAUCCGGCAUUGCCGUCAGCUGUGGUGUAGGUUGCAGACUUGGUUGGAUCCACGUUACUGUGGCUGUGGCAUAGAUAGGCAGCUGUAGCUCCGAUUGGACCCCUAGACUGGGGAACCUCCAUAUGCCAUGGGUGUGGCCCUAAAAAGCAAAAAACAAAACAAAACCAAAAAAAAAAAAAAAAAAGAGUUAGUUGUACGGGAUGCUGUGACUUGGAUGUCAGGGGUAAGGAGGGAAGAACUUAGGUAGUUGCCAUGUUCUGCAGCUGGGUGGAUGGUGGAGGGGCCCCUUGGGAAGUGGGUUAGAGCAGGUUGAGGCUAACUGAGAAUUCAUCCUUGGACACAUUAAGCUUGAGAUGGGUCAGGAAGGCUGUUGGAUCCAUGGACCUGAAACUCAGGCCAGACUUGGGAGCUGGGCAGAUGGACUAGUAAGUCAUGGGAUAUAGAGGAGAAUUAGAACCUUGGAGGAUGCCUAGGAGAUAGCAUCCCCGUGAGCAAAGAGAACAAAGGGCAAAGAACUAUCUGCCAGGCCGACUGCCUGGGUUUCAAUUCUGGGACCCUUGCUAACUAGCUGUGACACUUGGGUAAAUUGCUCAGUUUACUCAUCUGUAACAAGGAGGAGCCUGUUGCAUCUACUGCAUUGGCGUUGUGAUGAUUCCAUGAAAUAAGGCACCUGAAGCACUUGGCACAGAGCCUGGCACUUCUGGGUUUGUUAAUUACAAUGGUCUGUCUUUGGACCUGAGGUCUCCCACUAUGUGUGAGCGGUUUGAGCUGUGCCUAAUUCCAUUCUAUUUUCUUUCCUAUCUUUUCUUUUGAGAGAUUUUUAAAAUUGGGUUUAUUCCUUCUCCUUUUGAUUGAGCCCACAUGUCCCAUCUUGGUUGUGGCUGGUGCCCACGUUGAGGCCAUUUUCCAUCAGCCCCAUCUUGGGCUCCAGCAGCCCACAGACCAUACCCCAAGGCCCAGCUCUGCCUCACUAAAGGACAGGCUUUAUAGCUUGCUUUCUCUCAUUUACUCUUCGCCACAUCAUAAGCAGAACAGGGGCUAUUCUAUUUUGCAGCAGAAAAAGCCAGUGUCCUGAGUGAAUUAAAAAGGAGCUGUACGAGGUCAGCCUGUAACAUCACUCAGAUUGGAUCUCAGGAUUAAUUUUGGUGCGUCUGAUCUUCCAUCUACAGAUUGAUCUCUGCAUACACCAGAGAAGAAGGAUUGAGGCUUCCCACUCUGAGCCGACUCUCUCAUUCUCUGCUGGCUUUGGGAGCCUGCUGGGCUCCAAAGGAAGGGGCGUGCAGUGCCCUGGGAUGUAAUCAUUGAUUUAAUAAUACUCAGGGGGUGGGCUUCCAGCCAUUAGAGGAUGAGACUGUGUGGUGGGGGCCUCUCUGGCCUAUUUAAUCCUCCAAUCCCUUAAAUACCAACAAAUCUGCCUUCUGUCUGGAGCCAACAGCUGCCCCUUGAGUGGAGUGGAGUCCAGGCUGGCAGGGAGGCCAGGACUUUCUGAAUGAACAAAAUUAAAACUCCCCCCACCUGCUUGGAUUAUCAGCCCACCUCUUUCCUGUCCCAUCGGGACUCUUUAAAAACACCAUCUGCCUUAGCCUUCCUGUUGCAUGGGAAUUGGGAGAUGCCAGGGGAUAGAGCCAAGUUGGCACCAACUCUUGGGCACUGAGGGGUACAAAUUUCCAGGGAACUUGCUUGCAACUCCCUGGGGACAUGGUUUCUGACCACCAGAAGGGCUAAUGGUCUCAGGAAUCUGAGCUGCCAUUUCAGUGACCAGCAACAAAGAAAUUUUCAGCUGGGUAGGUCCUUGGGGAUUAUAGAGCCCAGCGGUUUUGACUUUCAUUUUAGCAGAUGUUUGUGCCUAUGGCAUGCAGAGGUUUCUAGGCCAAGGAUUGAACCUACACCACAGCAGCAACCCAGGCCACAAUAAUGACAGUGCCAGAUCCUUAACCUGCUGAGCCACCAGGUUAUGAGCUCCUUUUUAAUUUACUGCCUAAGAUCCUCAGCUACACCUGUCUUCCAGGUCUUGCCACUUGUUUCCAGCACAAGCAAAUGGCAACCCCAUGCUCCCCCAAACUCCUGGCUUCAGUGCAGGAGUGUCACACACCCCAUGGGUCUCAUCUUUGACCAACAAAAACAGGGGUGCGCAGAUGAAUUCCUUUCUCUUCCUCUUUCUUGGUAGCCUGUCCUAAGGUUCAUAUGGCCUCUUUAAAGAAGGUCCUGCAAGAUCUAGCAUCAGGGUAUAAGCAGCUUUUGGCAGGAAAGAGCUCUCUGCAGGUCGCCCCUUGGUCUUGUCUCUAACCUUAAACCAGGCACCCCUAUGCUCUACUCCUCUGGCCCUGGCACCCCUCUCAGAUCUUUUGAACACACAAUACCUUGCCUAAUCUGUUGGUUCUUUCUGUAGAUCAAAGAAGUAGAAGUGAAGACGAAAUAAUUAAUAGAUGGCCAUAUCUCCUCCCUAGCUUCCCCUCCAGUAAUCUCAUGAACAAACUGUGUGAACAAGAUAGUACCAAAAGAAAAAUCACAGGAAGUCCAGAAGCCUGCACAACAAGCCUGCACACGGUGGGGGACAGCAAUGACUCUGACCCCAUCUCAAUGAUUAGCUGAAAUCACUUCCCCUUUUCCCUUUAAAAACUUUCAUGGCUGAGCAGACUCUUCGGAGAUGGUUCCUGGGGGACGAUGAGUCAGUCCACCAUCCCCCCAGAAUGCCAGCAUUCUGAUUCAAAGCAACUUGUCUUUCUACCAGCUUUUGCAAGGGUUGAUUUUUUUCAAGUGGUGAGAAGCCAGACUUGAUUCAGUAACCAGGGGAUGCUUAUGGCAGCCAGCUCAGCAAAGCCCCUGUACCAUCUCCUUCUCUCUCAUCCCACCUUUUCCUCACUUAGCUUCCUGGCACGGUGCUUUCUCAUAGAGUGUUCACAUGUGUGCUUCUGUCUCAAGAUCUGCUUCUUCGGAAACCUGGGCCAAGACAACAUCAAAGAAGGAUACUCGGUGUAGAGAGCAGAUACUCCGCGUGAAGGGAAACGGGGCCCCAGGGACCAUCUCUUUUGCCCCUUACCAUUUCCAAGGUGCUGACCGAGGUGCUCUCCAAAGGCUCCCAAAAGCCUUUCAUCACCUUCAAUUCUGCCAUUCUGCUGCUGGGGAAACUGAAGCUGGAAGUCACACAGUGAGUCAGAAGCAAAGCCAGGACUAGUCUCAUCUUCUCACUCCUAAUCCAGUGAGAUUAAUCCUCAUGUCUCUAUGAAGUUUAUGUAAGAACUUAAGAACUUCUGGAAAUUUUUUCUUUUCCCAAAACAUCAACCUUCCAGGUUGACCCCUGGAAGGCUUCCCCCUGUCCAGCUUUGUUGAGAAAUAACUGACAUAACAUCACUGCACAAGGUUAAGGCAUGCAACAUCUUGAUCUGAUUUACAUAUAGUCUGAAGUGAUUACCUCAAUAGGUUCAGCUAUAUCCAUCAUCUCUCUGGAAGGCUCUGAAAUCCCGUUAGACUGUAGCCACCACCUGGGAGGCCUGAUGCACAGACCUCUGAACUCAGAAGUGGGGACUCAGGAGAGCAGACAAAGAGGAAAUGGGACAGAGACGGGGCAGUUAUGCUGGGAGAAAGGUGGUCAGGAAAGGCCAAAUUUAGGGACCUCUGCAUGUGAGCAACUGGGCUUACGUGGUUUGAAGGCUACACAAGGACAGACCCCAGGGGAGAGAAGACAGGCCUGGGGAAAGGGGGAGGGACUGUGGAAGGAGGUGGAGACUGGCUCCCAACCCUCCCCCAACCCCCUCGGCCAGCUGGGGUCACCUGUAGGACACCCUCCUCCAGGCUGAAAUCAUGCUUAAAGAAGCUGGGAGGGUGACCUCACUGUGGGGAAAAAGACAGAAGGAGGUGUUUGCUUCCAGUUGUUUUCAUAAGAUUCCUGUGGUUGUGACUGCUAGAAACAAGUUGGGGCCAGGUUGAUGACAAAAAGCAUUUUUUUUUUGGUUUUGUUUUUUUAGGACCACACCCAGAACAUAUGGAAGUUCCCAGGCUAGUGGUUCAAUCAGAGCUAUGGCUGCCGGUUUAUGCCAGAGGCACAGCAAUGUGGGAU
rnacentral:lncRNA from 1 species